AGUAGUUAUAUAUUCACAAGAUCCAUUAUUCACCACAUGUUAUUAAUAGUAAACUUUUAAUGGUUAAUAACAUUCACAAAAUACUUAAGCAACUCUUAUAAAUAUUUAUGUAAUUGUUGUUAGUUUGUAGGAUCCAUGGAUCGCUGUUGUGAUUUCUCACCGGCAAAAGUUGGUUUGAAGGGAGCUCCAUUUUCAUGGGCAAUAAAUGUGAUGAUUGUUUUUGUUGCUGCGGUGGCCGCUGUAACUGCACAAGUGAUCCGUUGGGUAGUCUUGGAUUAAAUCGAACCAUGGGAACACUCAUCGGAAUCGCAGUUGAAACUAAGUUAUUGCUAAAGAUCCCCGGGUAAUCUAAAGAGUUGUCUCUUAAUCGUUUUAG
rnacentral:lncRNA from 1 species